UCUCUCUCUCUCUCUCUCUUUCUCUCUCUCUAUAAGCUUGAACCUGAUUUCCGAAGCUCUCCUUCACUUUGUUUCCCAACUGUCUCUCUCUUUCAUUCUCCAAUCUGAUUUCAACAUGUAACAACCCUCUUCUUUCAUCCUUUUCAACGUUCUUCUUCUCUCCCUUGGUUUCUCCCUUUUUGGUAGACAAAACCCCAUGGCGGUGGCGCUUGAGGGCUUCUCGAUCCGACAAUAUGCGGCGAAGAUGAGGAGUGUCGACGUGGUCAAGUGCUGGCCGUUCGGGGAAGACUCGGAGGAGGAUAUGAAGGCCUUGCUUCCGCCGAUCACGGUCGCCAAGUUCCGCUGGUGGUCCCACGAGCUGCAAGCCUUCAAUUCCAAUCAAACCCACAAAGAUAACCAGAAUAUUCAGGGAGAGCGACUAGAAUUUUCAAGGAACGAGAGUGAAUUCGAGAAAUCGGAGCCGGAGGAGGAGAAAUUUGAGAUGGUUUGCCCGGUUUGCCGGGUGUUUACGGCGGCGACCGUGAAUGCCGUGAAUUCCCAUGUUGAUAGCUGCCUCGCUCAGUCGUCGCAGCAUAAGAAGCCCAAGACGACCAAGCCGCCCAAGAAGAGGUCGAUUGCGGAGAUUUUCGCGGUGGCGCCGCAGAUCGAAGCAGUAGAUGUUGAUGAUGAUGAUGAUGAAAAUGUGGCUGAAGAAAGCAGUGGAGGAGAAGACAAGUUUGGUAGUUGCAAGUUCUCGAGUAAGAAGAAUAUAAACAUGAAGAUGAGGAAGAAGAAGAAGAAGAAGAUGAUGAUGAAGAAUAAGAAGAAGAAGAACAAGAAGAAGAGAAGGGUUUUGGAAGAGAAAGGCAUGGCAAUUGUAAGCAAGUUGAAGAAGAAGAAGAAGAAGAAGAAGAAGAAUAAGAAGUUGAAGAAGAAGGAGGGUUUGCAUAAGCUCAAACUGCCACCUCCAGUUGAUUUCGCUAGAAAACUGAAUGGUUCAUCUUGUAAUAAGAGGUUUCCAGAGGACAUCUUGGAUACUGCUUCUAUGCAAGGAAAGAAACCAAAUCUGAAAUGCUUAUCUAUGCAAAAGAAGCUCAAAGUUGUUCAAACAUCGAAAUUAAUUGCUAAGCACCAGAAGCCAGUGUUUCCGGUUCGCAGCAUUCUCAAAAACCAUAAAAAAGUUACUCCUAGGCUGAACUCUGCAAUUUGCAAAUUGAAAUGUAGUCAAGUAAAUCAUUCUGGUAUUCAAAGGCCUGACAGGCAUGUCAGGUUCUCAGGUAAGGAUGACAUACUUGGUCCAAGGAAGAAAAAUAUCUCAGAUGCCUUUGAGCAAGGCAGUGGUGACCAAUUUUCAGAUGCUUUUGCUACUUUAUCAGAGGACCAGUCCACUGAACGUGACAAAGAAGUUUCCCCUAUGGAGGUAGAUGGAACUGAUAAUGAUGUUAUUAUUAGUACAGAUAGUGGAACUGAGGUUCAACCUACAGCCAGGAAGAAACAAUUGCUCAAUACGCAUGAUCAUGUUGAUAUACCAUGUCCUCUGAGGCCACAUGUUACUUUUCAAGACAAAAUAAAGCAUUGUCCAGAAAAAUCAGUUUCUCGAAGUCAGGUUGCAAUUCAUAAUGACAAAAUGCAUAUGUUUAAUCAAGGCCACUCAACUAUGUCAUGUAAACCCGCAUCUGUUGGCCCUCCUAGACUCAUUUCUGCACUUGAAGAAAGGCAUAAUCCUUGUGUAAAUGCUCAAGCAGGUGGUAAUGUUAUCAGAGCUUUCAAUGAGAGUGGAAAGCUGAUUGAUCAUUUUGUAGAUUCUAUCCAUGGCAUUGCUGCAAUCAGUUCAGUGCCAGACACAAGGGUAUUGUCGCAGCCGUCAUCAUCUUGUUUUGUUGUAGAUGAAAAUGCAAACAGGAGGCUGCCAUUUCCGUCUCAAUCUGCCACACAGAAUUUUAGUGGAAGUACAUUGCAUUACCAACCUUUUUGUCAUGUGUCUCCGAGAGAGUUGAUGAAUAGCAUAUGUCAGUCUCCAGAGCGGACGCAAAAAGCAGUUUCCUUCAGAGAAAAUUGCAUGGAUGACGGAUUUUUUGGUUUGCCUCUCAACUCACAGGGUGAGUUAAUCCAGUUUAGUUCAAGUGGGAAGGGUGGGUUUGACCAGCACUGGCUGCCAAGUACUACUGGCUCUUCCAGCAGCUUGCCUGUGCAUAAUCUUGUCCUGCCAAAAAGUACUGGGGAAUAUUUAAGUGUGAAGAAGAGGCAUUUUGUCGAGAGAGAACAUCCCACAGAUCCAUUAAACUUGUUUCCUGUGCAGAAUUAUGUUACAGAGAACCCUAAAGUACAUUUACCAGCUAGGUUCGGUGUCACUGAAGUAGAAGGUACUGGAAGAUCAGAUGUUCAGUGGCUUAAUUCUGAGAGGGGGAGCAACCACUCUGCCCGCCUGCUCGAUUCUGAGCUGAGCCUGUCUGAUACAUCUUUCACUGGAUACAGACAAUAUAACCAGGUGCAGAACCAAACUACUAAUGCGAUUUUUCAUCCUAAAGACAGUUCAGAUAAAAUCUUGCUAAAUUCUAACCAAACAACAAUGCGUUUGAUGGGUAAAGAUGUAGCAGUUGGUAGAAGUUGCAACGAGAUGCAAGGAUUUGAGGAUGGAAAGGUCUGGACUGAUAAGGAGAUCAUAACAGAUGAUUGUCCUACAAGUAGUGCCAUGGAGAAUUCAUCUAUGGAGAGAAAUUUUCUGCAGGAUUGGAUGUUACAACCUGCAUCAGGAAAAUCAAAGGACACUGUAGCUCAGUCAUUAGGAAUUCAGUGCAAUCACAUGUCACGGAGCAGCUUGCUGUCGAAAGCAUCAGAGUCUAGGUUUUCUAACCCAUUCUCCAAUUGGCAAACUAAUGUGGUCCAUCGAAAUGGCAGUCUUACCAUCAACAAAAACCCUAGUGAUAAUGUGCAUUCUUUUGUUCAUUCAUCUGCUUCCCCAGCAAUGUUUGGUGGUGCACCCAGCCUCCAGGAACCCUUUAUAUCUAGAGCUGAAGAUCUAAGAGUCAGUUCUCAGUUACCACUGCUUUCUGGCCCUCACAUUACCUGUCAUCAUAUGCCUUGGAGUCCUGCUGAACUUAAAAACAAGCAGAAUCUACCUCAUGCUGCAAAAUCAGCCUUCAACUUUCCAUUCUUGCACCCUGAUUAUAGAGAGAGUGUUCAACCUUCUUGGAUUCAGAGAUCCUCAAAGAGCCUGCCCCCUUGGUUGUUCCAUGCACAACAGGAUAAACCACUAAUUGCCUCCUCUCAACCUUUUUCUGAUGUGGGUGGUAGGUAUCUUCCCCAUCUUAUCUCCGGAACUAAUUGUUUUCCUUCCCCACUUGUGAAUCAUUUACCAGUUUCUUAUCCUUACAAUCCCAUGAACUCUCAAUCAUACAUCAACAAUUCGCUCUCUUCAGCACCUAUACUUCACCCUCCACCUAUUCCCGCCAUUCCUGGAGUUAAUUCAACUUCUGCAGCCAACAAGGGCUGUCGGAACAGAAUUAAGUUCAAAGAUACUGUGAAAUCAAAAGCUUUUGGUAUCAAAGUGCCUGAUCCUUUUAAGAAAUCCAAGAGGCCUGCAGCUAAAGCAGAUUAUUUAACAAAGCCCACCAGGAUACCAAAUUUAGAAAUGCAAAAAGAGUUAAGUGCUGUGAUGGGGUUAAGGAGAGAAAACUGCGGCAUGGACAUUCAAUGUAAUGCAGGAGUUGUUGAAUUCGAUCCAAGCAGGGAUAAAGCAAUCAUGUUAGAAUGUUGCCCAAAUGAGAAUCAAAAGGAUGUGCUUCAAAGUUCAAGUGGCAUUGAUUCCUCACAAGUGGAUAAUUCGGCAAGAUUGGGUCCUAUUAAACUAAGUGCAGGAGCAAAACACAUCCUGAAACCUAGUCAAGCUACAGAUCAGGAUAACUCUAGGCUAAUCCAUUCAACCCUCCCUUUUGCCAUGGCAACAAAUUGUGGUAGUGUACCAGAAUCUCAGAAGAAGCUAACAAAGAUUUACAGGUUUUAGAAGACUACCGCCCGGCUGAAGAUACAAGGCUAGAGAUCUUCAUGGUUAACUACGUACUCUUGGUCUUGGGUUGCUAAAUUCAAAGAAAGAAUAUUAUCAAUUCCAGGUAUUAGCUCCAACCGGUUGAAUGAUGUAAUAAUGGCUUGGAAUUCUACUCGGCAAAAGAUCAGUUGCAAGAUUAUGUUUUUUGAUGUUUGUUGUUUUCAAUCGUUUUAUUCUCCAGAUGUAUUAGUAAUGGUGGUUCUAACGCUUCUGUAAUGACUUACGUACUGUGUAACAUGCUUUUUUUUUUUUUUGUAUUUUAGUUUUUCUCUAAAAAAAGAAAAUUAGCUCUCUGUUCCUGAAAAUAUUGUAGUGAUAAUUAUUUCUUUGAAUGUGGAUUUUGUGAA